AAAUAUAAUUUUGGUACAUAAAUUGAAAGGUGGUAUACUUAAAUGUAAUAAACACAAACCUUAAACAUGGAUGGUAAUAAGGUUUGCUAUAUAGUAUAUAUAUGUAAAAAUCCCAUUAAAAAAUAGUUGCACCCAACCAACUCACAAUGAACUACAACAUUUCAUAGUAAACGAAUUGUAAGGAAAUUUCAAAAAGCUAACAGAUGCAAUGUUUAAAUUUAACUACAUUACUAAUGGAAAUCAACAAGCAUUCAGGCUUGCAUUCGAACCUAAGCUAAACUUACAAACAACAGCCCCCAAGCUUCCACCAAUCUAUUUUUCCUUUAAACAGUAAUAACAUAUAGAGGAUUAGCAUAGUUUUGCUUGAAUUCAGAAAACCUUACUUGGUACACAUUUAGCAAUCCAAAAGAUCUUGAAUCAGCAAUAUUCAACAAAGUUCAAAUCCAAACCUUAAAGCAAAACAGGCAACACAAAUGGACACUAAUCCAAACUAUCAUGUAGCAUACAAUAUUCAAAAUCUUAAUCCCGGGCCACACAUUCAGGGGGUAGAGGAACAAUAAACAGAUCUCCCUAAAUGAACUAAUAAUAAACAUGAAACUAAACUAUGAACACAACUACUAUUCAAAGCUCCAUAUUUUCAUUUUUGAUUCCAAAUCAAGCUUUACAUUAGAUUGAAGGUGGAAGUGUGUACCUGGAAAUUAAAAUAGGAAAAGGAAAAGUGAUGGGUCAGCAAAAUAGCAGCAGAAAUCGACCCAGAUUCAGCAAAAUCUGAUGGAACAGUAACCCUCAACAAAGCUUUAACCCAAACUUUUCAAAACAUAAUAUCAAUCCAUUUCAAAUGUUAGAAUGAGAAGCUAUUGUUUAGCAAUUGAAAAGACUUAGUAAUCGUUGAGAAGUUCAAUAAAAUAAUAAAAAUUCUGCCAUUUGUACUUUUUCUGGAUUUUUUCUAUUCAAG
rnacentral:lncRNA from 1 species